AUUGAACGCUGGCGGCAUGCCUUACACAUGCAAGUCGAACGGCAGCACGGGAGCAAUCCUGGUGGCGAGUGGCGAACGGGUGAGUAAUAUAUCGGAACGUGCCCAGUCGUGGGGAUAACGUAGCGAAAGCUACGCUAAUACCGCAUACGAUCUAUGGAUGAAAGCGGGGGAUCGCAAGACCUCGCGCGAUUGGAGCGGCCGAUAUCAGAUUAGGUAGUUGGUGAGGUAAAGGCUCACCAAGCCGACGAUCUGUAGCUGGUCUGAGAGGACGACCAGCCACACUGGGACUGAGACACGGCCCAGACUCCUACGGGAGGCAGCAGUGGGGAAUUUUGGACAAUGGACGCAAGUCUGAUCCAGCCAUUCCGCGUGCAGGAUGAAGGCCCUCGGGUUGUAAACUGCUUUUGUACGGAACGAAAAGGUUUCUAUUAAUACUAGGAGCUCAUGACGGUACCGUAAGAAUAAGCACCGGCUAA
rnacentral:rRNA from 1 species